UUGAACGCUGGCGGCAGGCCUAACACAUGCAAGUCGAGCGAGAAAGCACUUCGGUGCGAGUACAGCGGCGGACGGGUGAGUAACGCGUAGGAAUCUACCUAGUAGUGGGGGACAACAUGUGGAAACGCAUGCUAAUACCGCAUACGCCCUAAGGGGGAAAGCAGGGGAUCUUCGGACCUUGGGCUAUUGGAUGAGCCUGCGUCAGAUUAGCUAGUUGGUGGGGUAAUGGCCUACCAAGGCAACGAUCUGUAGCUGGUCUGAGAGGAUGACCAGCCACACUGGAACUGAGACACGGUCCAGACUCCUACGGGAGGCAGCAGUGGGGAAUAUUGGACAAUGGGGGGAACCCUGAUCCAGCCAUGCCGCGUGAGUGAAGAAGGCCUUCGGGUUGUAAAGCUCUUUCAGCCGGAACGAAACGGUUACGAUUAAUACUCGUAAUUAAUGACGGUACCGGCAGAAGAAGCACCGGCUAACUACGUGCCAGCAGCCGCGGUAAUACGUAGGGUGCGAGCGUUAAUCGGAAUUACUGGGCGUAAAGGGUCCGCAGGUUGUUUUGUAAGUCAGAUGUGAAAGCCCCGGGCUUAACCUGGGAACUGCGUCUGAAACUACAAGGCUAGAGUAUGGCAGAGGGGGGUGGAAUUCCGCGUGUAGCAGUGAAAUGCGUAGAUAUGUGGAGGAACACCGAUGGCGAAGGCAGCCCCCUGGGUCAAUACUGACGCUGAGGGACGAAAGCAUGGGGAGCAAACAGGAUUAGAUACCCUGGUAGUCCAUGCCCUAAACGAUGUCAACUAGUUGUCGGGCCUUUACGGGCUUGGUAACGUAGCUAACGCGUGAAGUUGACCGCCUGGGGAGUACGAUCGCAAGAUUAAAACUCAAAUGAAUUGACGGGGACCCGCACAAGCGGUGGAUUAUGUGGAUUAAUUCGAUGCAACGCGAAAAACCUUACCUACCCUUGACAUGUAUCGAAGCCCGCAGAAAAGCGGAGGUGCCCGAAAGGGAACGAUAACACAGGUGCUGCAUGGCUGUCGUCAGCUCGUGUCGUGAGAUGUUGGGUUAAGUCCCGCAACGAGCGCAACCCUUGUCAUUAAUUGCCAUCAUUUAGUUGGGCACUUUAAUGAGACUGCCGGUGACAAACCGGAGGAAGGUGGGGAUGACGUCAAGUCCUCAUGGCCCUUAUGGGUAGGGCUUCACACGUAAUACAAUGGCGCGUACAGAGGGUUGCCAACCCGCGAGGGGGAGCUAAUCUCAGAAAGCGCGUCGUAGUCCGGAUCGGAGUCUGCAACUCGACUCCGUGAAGUCGGAAUCGCUAGUAAUCGCGGAUCAGCAUGUCGCGGUGAAUACGUUCCCGGGUCUUGUACACACCGCCCGUCACACCAUGGGAGUGGGUUCCACCAGAAGC
rnacentral:rRNA from 1 species